rnacentral:rRNA from 1 species
AAGCCUUUAAAUGUGCCCUCGCAAGAGGCAUGCUAGCGACUCAAAACAAAUAGCAGCGCGCAAGUCGUGGCUCCGGCCGCGGCGACACUUUCGAAUUGACGGGGACGCCCUUAGAGCCCUACCCACCAAACCAGGCUGGAAACUCCUGUGUGGCCCAUGCUAACAACAUGGGGUAUGGUAAAAGAGGUAGAGGAUUGGGCAAUCCGCAGCCAAGCUCCUACGGGCCGAGGCCUAUGGAGAAGGUUCACAGACUAAGUGGAAGUGGGCUGUUCCUUGGAAGAUUUCAAGGCGUAGCUUAAGAUAUAGUCGGGCCCUCGCUGAAAAGCAAGGGAUAGUCACUGCUGCAGUUUCACGAGCUCGAGGGGAAAUUUUAGAAGACCGAUUCAUUCAUUCAUUCAUUCAUACAUCCGUGAGGCGUGCCUGCAUGCCUGCUGCCGGUUUGCGUGCCUGCAUGCCUUGCGCUGUGGGGUCCGUAUCUGCUUGCUGCAACUCGCCUUUCGCUCUGCUCCCCACUUCUGCGGGAUUGAAUGAAUGAUAGGGUUCUGAUGAACUUCGAGCUCGUGGGAUUCGCGACUAAUUGAAACCGUUCCGUAGGUGAACCUGCGGAAGGAUCAUUACUGAAAAGUUAUAUCCAGAAAGGUCAUGGAAGGGUGUCCUCCCUAAAAAGAGGGCUCCCGACCUACCCUUCUCACCCUUGUGUAUCUACCAUGUUGCUUUGGCGGGUCGACCCGGUUCCGACCCGGGCGGCCGGUGCCCCCAGCCUGGGAAACCAGGCCAGGACGCCUGGCUAAGUGCCCGCCAGUAUACAAAACUCCGAAGAUUAUUUUUUGUAGUUCUGAUGAUUUAUUCAAUAAAUUAAAACUUUCAACAACGGAUCUCUUGGUUCUGGCAUCGAUGAAGAACGCAGCGAAAUGCGAUAAGUAAUGUGAAUUGCAGAAUUCAGUGAAUCAUCGAAUCUUUGAACGCACAUUGCGCCCCUUGGUAUUCCGAGGGGCAUGCCUGUUCGAGCGUCAUUUCAACCCUCAAGCUCUGCUUGGUAUUGGGCGACGUCCGCCAAGGACGCGCCUCGAAGACCUCGGCGACGGCGUCUCAGCCUCGAGCGUAGUAGUAAAAUAUCUCGCUUUGGAGGAAGGGACGACGGCCGCCGGACAAUCGACCUUCGGUCAAAUACUUCCAAGGUGA